rnacentral:tRNA from 1 species
GCCGGCAUAGCUCAGUUGGUAGAGCGCCACUUUUGUAAAGUGGAUGUCGAGGGUUCGAAUCCUUCUGCCGGCUCCA